UCCAAAUGGCUCCCAGCAAUAUUUGCCUCC
rnacentral:piRNA from 1 species